GACGAACGCUGGCGGCGUGCUUAACACAUGCAAGUCGAACGGAAAGGCCCUGCUCUUGUGGGGUGCUCGAGUGGCGAACGGGUGAGUAACACGUGAGUAACCUGCCCUUGACUUUGGGAUAACUUCAGGAAACUGGGGCUAAUACCGGAUAGGAGCUCUUGCUGCAUGGUGUGGGUUGGAAAGUUUCGGCGGUGUGGGAUGGACUCGCGGGUUACCCGCUUGUUGGUGGGGUAGUGGCUUACCAAGGGUUUGACGGGUAGCCGGCCUUGGCGGGUGACCGGCCACAUGAGGACUGAGAGACGGCCCAGACUCCUACGGGAGGCAGAAGUGGGGAAUAUGACAGAAUGGGCGGAAGCCUGAUACAGCAACGCCGCGUGCGGGAUGACGGGCUUCGGGUUAUAAACCGCUUUCGCCUGUGACGAAGCGUGAGUGACGGUAAUGGGUAAAGAAGCACCGGCUAACUACGUG
rnacentral:rRNA from 1 species